rnacentral:rRNA from 1 species
CAGCAGCCGCGGUAAUACGAAGGGGGCUAGCGUUGUUCGGAAUCACUGGGCGUAAAGCGCACGUAGGCGGACUUUUAAGUCAGGGGUGAAAUCCCAAGGCUCAACCUUGGAACUGCCUUUGAUACUGGAAGUCUUGAGUUCGGGAGAGGUGUGUGGAACUGCGAGUGUAGAGGUGAAAUUCGUAGAUAUUCGCAAGAACACCAGUGGCGAAGGCGGCUCACUGGCCCGAUACUGACGCUGAGGUGCGAAAGCGUGGGGAGCAAACAGGAUUAGAUACCCGAGUAGUCCCUGUCUCUUAUAC